rnacentral:tRNA from 4 species
GCCGCACUAGCUCAGUCGGUAGAGCACAUCAUUCGUAAUGAUGGGGUCGGGGGUUCGAAUCCCUCGUGCGGCACCA